GUCCUUUUGUAGUUCAUAAGUGUGAUGAUUGGGUGUUCACGCUGGUGUGUAAGGUCUGCCUCCCUCAGCAUUGUUGUGACAUUGGCACAAUGCCUGUCUGAUG